CUCCGGCCCCAGCGACAGCCCUUGGCAGAGGACCAUUUUCCCACCAGUCGGAACUACGACUGCCCCAGCUGCAAAGUCUCACCAUCCACCUUUGAAAUUGCCACACAGGUCUUUUUACUUGCCAAAGGAAGAGAGCAGAGGAAACGAUCUCUGAGUGGCAGGUUGUUUGCAUGAAGCAUGGUCACCGCUGCUGAGGAAUCCUUUGGCUUGGGCUGAGUUGGUCCCUCCUGCGUCUUCAGUCCUUGCGGUGACAUCCACGUUGUUCCACUCGUGAUAAAUGAAGGGCCUCUCGGGCUGUGCUCCUCGCCUCAUAAUGAGAAUUACCAGCAGGCCUGGAUGGAUCCAAAGUAAUGUGAGCCUGCUGUCCUGCAAAUGUCUGUAAUAAUAAAUGACAAGGAAGGCAGAGGUGUGAUACAUUCAUUUCCUUAUUAUGAAAUGUCCCUGUAGAUUUUCAGUGCCCAAAUUUAAACAAGAAAAGAAAGCAAGCUAUCCUUUGGGGCCUUUGGUUGCAUAUCAUGAAAGAGUGUCAGUUUGGAGUGAGACAAUGACUUCUUUGGGAUCAGAGGGCUUUCUAGAGAUUACAGAGGUACCUCGUUUGGAGGUUUAAUUGCAGACAGUUUCAAUAAGGGUGAUGCUAGGUUAAGCACGACCAGUUGAUUUAAAUGGGAAAUGGAUUAUGAUUAGAAAUAUGAGUUAGAGCCGCCCUGAAAACCUUCAGAAAAUUACAACUGUAGGUCUUCAUAGGAGAAGUUACCUUUUUCCAACUUGACAGUAAAGGCUCUGUAGUAUCAGAUUCUAGAAACAAGGAAUGUCAGAACCGGAAAGAGCACUAGUGAUCCUGCCUCUUCCUCCUGUAGAUGUGAAAGUCAGAUCCAGAGCCAUAAAAGGAUUUACUGAAGACCCAAGGCCAGGCAGUCGUUGAGGCAUGCUUAUAGAUUAGGUCUUCUGACUUGUUUGCGUUUCCCUCUGUUCUUGAUAUGUGAUGAUGAAAGAGCUUGGUGGACUGUGAAGUCUCAUGUGAUCUACUGGCAUCCCAUCAUCUCCGUGUGCUGCCUCCAGUCCUAAUUUGACCUUCCUGGGCCUUAGCUUACUUGGUGACAUUAGUUGAUGUCCAAGUUCUCUUCUUUUCUAAAAUUCCAUUCCUUCAUGGCUCUAUUUUUAGAAAAUAGAGGUAGUGGUUGAAAGAACCUUGGAAUUCAUCAAGAAACUCUUAAGUUUUGCCUCCACUGACCCUCCUCCUUCAGUCUCAUCUCUUGCCGCAUUGUGCCCAUCCCAUCCCCUGACCUACCAGUGCAGCUCCCCAAAUGCCCCAGGAUCAGAGCAUCUGUGCGUGAUGUGCCCCCUGCCAUCUUUGCCCUGCUAAGUCCUAUUUGUUCUUUAAGGCUCUGUUCGAGCAUCAACUUCUCAGGAAGGCUUUCUUGUGUCCUCUUAUAGGCUUCCCCAGCACCCAAUGCCUCUUGCUACCAUGGUUUAUCACACUGUAUGGUAACUAUCUACCUAGAUCUCACUCUAUCUUUCCAGGCUGUGAACUCCUCAGCUCUGAAUACCAGUGCCUGCACUGUGCCUGGAACGUAGGAGAGGCUCAGUAAAUGUUUGUUUAAUGCUGAGCGGUUUUCUCCAAGAGAUGACCGGCAGUUCCAUACUGAUGGCUGUGUCUUGUCUUUUAAUACUUUGACAUCUGGGCAUUGGCUGGUGUGCACCGCCAAUUGGUGGCUUAGAUGGAAUAAUGAAGGUGUUAAGAUUCAUCCCUUGGUGCCACUUUGCUGAUGGAAGGAGCUCAAGGUGAAUGAUUUCUGAGCCUUCAUCACAGGACAGCAUGAAGCUAGUUGCUUGCCAUCUAGCCAAACCCUAUUUCAAGGUGGGAGCUCUGGAAAGAGAUGUUGCAGACCCCAAAGAAAGUAUAGCCUCUUCUGGGUUUACAAGACCUAGUGUACAUCGGCAGCCUCUUUAGAGUUCUGGAGAGAUGGGUGUAAGCCUUCUGCAGCUGGAGGAUGGGAAGAGGUCAGCCGUUCUCUAAAAUCCUCAGAGGUUUUCCUUUCUCAGUUUGCUGAGUGGUUUCUAAUGUGUGUUAACUCAGGCUGCUGCUAAUUGCUGCUGAUUGCUGAUGAAUUGCUGGCAAUAGCAAGCGACUGUCCUGGCAGCAGGAAAGGCUUGUCCCAAGAUAACAGGAGUAGGGAUAGAAUGGUGUAGGUGGUGCUGAGCUGCCUACACCCAGGAGCCCAGAAUGCCCAGGCAGCCCAACAAGCCACUUAGCAAGGGGAGCCAGGAGCAAAAGCUCUCUUGGGAGCCCAAGGCUACCAAGAGUGUGGAGACAGAGGGCAUGAUUCAGCAGGAGCUGGGACUCUGCUGUGUUAAUGUUUAUAUUGAAUGAUGAAUGGAAGUUGGCCACCAAGCUCGAGGAAAGUUGCUUCUCAACACCUCAGUGUGUCAGGAUCCUUGAAGGAAUCCAGGAUAAAAUAAGAGACAUAAUGCCAAAUGGAAACAAGGGAACUGAAG